rnacentral:rRNA from 1 species
GCUAUACUGCAAGUCGAACGCUUCUUUCCUCCCGAGUGCUUGCACUCAAUUGGAAAGAGGAGUGGCGGACGGGUGAGUAACACGUGGGUAACCUACCCAUCAGAGGGGGAUAACACUUGGAAACAGGUGCUAAUACCGCAUAACAGUUUAUGCCGCAUGGCAUAAGAGUGAAAGGCGCUUUCGGGUGUCGCUGAUGGAUGGACCCGCGGUGCAUUAGCUAGUUGGUGAGGUAACGGCUCACCAAGGCCACGAUGCAUAGCCGACCUGAGAGGGUGAUCGGCCACACUGGGACUGAGACACGGCCCAGACUCCUACGGGAGGCAGCAGUAGGGAAUCUUCGGCAAUGGACGAAAGUCUGACCGAGCAACGCCGCGUGAGUGAAGAAGGUUUUCGGAUCGUAAAACUCUGUUGUUAGAGAAGAACAAGGACGUUAGUAACUGAACGUCCCCUGACGGUAUCUAACCAGAAAGCCACGGCUAACUACGUGCCAGCA